rnacentral:lncRNA from 1 species
CAGAAUUCAAUGCAAAGAGUAUUUCCUUCCUCUACACUUCAGGAUCAGGUUACCUGCCCUCACUUCCAUAGGACAUCAAGUUGGUUAGGCCAGGCCUUCUGGAUGUUUCUACCACUGAAGGACAAGAGUUUUUGCUAUCACCUCAAGCAUGCACAAUGCCGGAAUGUGAUAAUUCAUAGAAUCAAAAAAAAUACAUAAUGGUUUGGGUUGGGAGGGACAUCAAAGACCAUCAAGUCUGCCAUGGGCAAAGUUGCUACCCACCAGAUCAGACUGCCCAGGGCUCCAUCCAGCCUG